UAUUUCAAGUGCUAUCAGAUGGCACUUGUCACUUCUACCUAAAAAAAGUCUCAAAUUCUCUCUACUGAGUUCACCAUUUUGAAUAGGAAUAGCAGGUGGUAUACAAAACGGGUACUGGUCCUGUGGGGGAAGUGACAAAACCUUGGAGAAUUCCAGAGGUUUAAUGGCAGUGGGGGAGGGGGUGCUUCCCAAAGAGAAAAGCACUGUCAGGGGAUUGGACUCCAGUCCUCUGAGUGGAGCACGUCUGUGGCAGGAUCUGGAGCUUCUUGAAGGCAGCAGAGGAAGAUGCAUGGGGCCAGUGACGGGACAAGAGGCUGUGCAAGGUUCUUACCAUGGAAAAUCAAAAUGACUGGCUCCUUCAAAUAAAUCUUACCUGCAGCCUUGCCAAGUCUUCAUCUUGGAAACAAUGAGCCUGCUUUAUAUACUCAACACUAGAUAGACUUUUAUAUAACUAUGCUGAUUGUGAAGCUGAUGUUGCAGCAUACGGUAAAGCUUAGUAGAUAACGUUGGAUAAGGAAAGGAGAGUAAUCUGUAAAUGUGAAGAAAAAAGACUGGAAGGAAGUACACCAAAACAUUAAUAAGUAUUGCACAAAUGCUGGAGGGAAGAGCUGCCUUUUACCUUUUAUCUGUACUUUAUAAAUUACUUCAAGAUAAAUAAAUCAUGAAUUUUAUUAACUUGCAUUGAAAACCAUUUACAACCUAGUCUCAAACUCUAUUCAGUAUAUUUUUUAAGCCUUUCCCCAGAUCGGCUCCACUAUCAAACUACCAUUGUUAAUUCCCAGGUCUCACAGGUUCUUUCUAUUUUUAUGCCUUUGUUCAUGAUGUUCCCUCAACCUCUAACGCUCUUCCCUCUCAUCUCAGCCUGACAAAAGACUGCUCAUCUUUCAACACCUAGUUCUAAGACCUUG
rnacentral:lncRNA from 10 species